rnacentral:lncRNA from 1 species
CGAUCUCUGUCCAGCUGCGACCCAAUGGGAGUCCCCGCCAGGAGACACAACCGGCGGCUCUCCGGGGAUUUAUAAGGUCCCGCCAGCAACCGCGCGUUGGGAUUCGUGGUGUUGCUGGAGACCCGUAUGGUGUCUGCAGUCAGCGACCCUCCAACUUCAACUACUGGAUCAACCAUGGUUGGCAUCAACUACCAGUCCCCCACAGUGGUGCCCGGGGGUGCUGUAGCCAAGGUGCAGCGGGCAGUCUGCGUGCUAAACAAUACCACAGCCAUCACUGAGGCCUGGGCCCGCCUCAACCAAAAGUUUGACCUGAUGUAUGCCAAGCGGGCAUUUAUGCACUGUUAUGUGGACAGGGGCAUGGAGGAAGGUGAGCUCUCUGGGCCUGAGAGGACCUGGCUGCCCUGGAGAAGGAUUAUGAAGUAGGCACAGAAUCUUUGGACAGCGAGGAUGAGCAUGAGGAGUUCUAGGGGUCCUGGCACCUGUAACACCUGGUCUCUCGCACCACAGUUGUGUGUGUAUCUCAUUCCACUGUUCCCUGACCCCCUACAAAUACAAUGGAUAUUGCAAGCGA